AUUGAACGCUUGCGGCAGGCCUAACACAUGCAAGUCGAACGGUAACAGGAAACAGCUUGCUGUUUCGCUGACGAGUGGCGGACGGGUGAGUAAUGUCUGGGAAACUGCCUGAUGGAGGGGGAUAACUACUGGAAACGGUAGCUAAUACCGCAUAACGUCGCAAGACCAAAGAGGGGGACCUUCGGGCCUCUUGCCAUCGGAUGUGCCCAGAUGGGAUUAGCUAGUAGGUGGGGUAACGGCUCACCUAGGCGACGAUCCCUAGCUGGUCUGAGAGGAUGACCAGCCACACUGGAACUGAGACACGGUCCAGACUCCUACGGGAGGCAGCAGUGGGGAAUAUUGCACAAUGGGCGCAAGCCUGAUGCAGCCAUGCCGCGUGUAUGAAGAAGGCCUUCGGGUUGUAAAGUACUUUCAGCGGGGAGGAAGGGAGUAAAGUUAAUACCUUUGCUCAUUGACGUUACCCGCAGAAGAAGCACCGGCUAACUCCGUGCCAGCAGCCGCGGUAAUACGGAGGGUGCAAGCGUUAAUCGGAAUUACUGGGCGUAAAGCGCACGCAGGCGGUUUGUUAAGUCAGAUGUGAAAUCCCCGGGCUCAACCUGGGAACUGCAUCUGAUACUGGCAAGCUUGAGUCUCGUAGAGGGGGGUAGAAUUCCAGGUGUAGCGGUGAAAUGCGUAGAGAUCUGGAGGAAUACCGGUGGCGAAGGCGGCCCCCUGGACGAAGACUGACGCUCAGGUGCGAAAGCGUGGGGAGCAAAAAGGAUUAGAUACCCUGGUAGUCCACGCCGUAAACGAUGUCGACUUGGAGGUUGUGCCCCUGAGGCGUGGCCUCCGGAGCUAACGCGUUAAGUCGACCGCCUGGGGAGUACGGCCGCAAGGUUAAAACUCAAAUGAAUUGACGGGGGCCCGCACAAGCGGUGGAGCAUGUGGUUUAAUUCGAUGCAACGCGAAGAACCUUACCUGGUCUUGACAUCCACAGAACUUUCCAGAGAUGGAUUGGUGCCUUCGGGAACUGUGAGACAGGUGCUGCAUGACUGUCGUCAGCUCGUGUUGUGAAAUGUUGGGUUAAGUCCCGCAACGAGCGCAACCCUUAUCCUUUGUUGCCAGCGGUCCGGCCGGGAACUCAAAGGAGACUGCCAGUGAUAAACUGGAGGAAGGUGGGGAUGACGUCAAGUCAUCAUGGCCCUUACGACCAGGGCUACACACGUGCUACAAUGGCGCAUACAAAGAGAAGCGACCUCGCGAGAGCAAGCGGACCUCAUAAAGUGCGUCGUAGUCCGGAUUGGAGUCUGCAACUCGACUCCAUGAAGUCGGAAUCGCUAGUAAUCGUGGAUCAGAAUGCCACGGUGAAUACGUUCCCGGGCCUUAUACUCACCGCCC
rnacentral:rRNA from 1 species